UUCAGAUGUGGUGCCUAACAACUACCUUCACCGAGAGAACUCUUCGGUUGUGCUCACUAUACAUUCUCGUACUUACGGGAAGAAUAUCGGACCUCUGCAUCACGGAUUUGGCCAAAACUCCUAACGCUGUUUCGUUUUUCCUCUAAAUAUGGAGCUUCUGAUGUGUAGUUUCAUCGAUUGGGCCGUUCUUCUGCACUACUCGUACGUUUAAAAUUGGACCCAUCUUUGUCAGCCGUUUAGUAAGGAACGGUUUGACAAGACGCACAUCAGAAAGAACACUAUAAAUGGAUUUUACAUCAAUAACAGAACCUGUUGUGUCAAACUUCAUGGAUAAGUGAUAAAAC